rnacentral:ncRNA from 1 species
AAACUUGAGAGUUUGAUCCUGGCUCAGAACGAACGCUGGCGGCAGGCUUAACACAUGCAAGUCGAACGCCCCGCAAGGGGAGUGGCAGACGGGUGAGUAACGCGUGG